rnacentral:rRNA from 1 species
GACGAACCGUGCGAACGUUGUUCGGAAUCACUGGGCUUAAAGGGCGCGUAGGCGGGCGGCCAAGUCAGGGGUGAAAUCCUCCAGCUUAACUGGAGAAGUGCCUUUGAUACUGGUCGUCUUGAGGAAGGUAGGGGCAUGCGGAACUGAUGGUGGAGCGGUGAAAUGUGUUGAUAUCAUCAGGAACUCCGGUGGCGAAAGCGGCGUGCUGGACCUUUUCUGACGCUGAUGCGCGAAAGCCAGGGGAGCAAACGGG